AUACGGAGGGUGCGAGCGUUAAUGGGAAUUACUGGGCGUAAAGCGUACGUAGGCGGUUGGUUAAGUUAGAUGUGAAAGCCCCGGGCUUAACCUGGGAACUGCAUUUAAAACUGGCGAACUAGAGUUGAGUAGAGGGGAGUGGAAUUUCAGGUGUAGCGGUGAAAUGCGUAGAGAUCUGAAGGAACACCAGUGGCGAAGGCGACUCCCUGGACUCGAACUGACGCUGAGGUACGAAAGCGUGGGUAGCAAACGGGAUUAGAAACCCUUGUAGUCC
rnacentral:rRNA from 1 species